GUCUACGGCCAUGCCACCCUGAACAUGCCUGAUCUCGUCUGAUCUUGGAAGCUAAGCAAGGUCAGGCCUGGUUAGUACUUAGAUGGGAGACCACCUAGGAAUAUCACAUGCUGUAGGCA
rnacentral:rRNA from 1 species